rnacentral:tRNA from 1 species
GCCGCAGUGGCCUAGCCUGGCAGGGCGCGAGACUCAUAAUCGGGGUCAUUGAGAUCGCGUCUCAGAUGAGGCA